rnacentral:rRNA from 1 species
AGAGUUUGAUGAUGGCUCAUAACCAACGCUGGCAGCAUGCCUAAGACGUGCGACUCCAACGAGAUCUUCCGAUCUACUGGCGCACGGGUGCGUACCGCUGGGGAAUCUGCCCUUGGGUUCGGAAUAACUUCUGGAAACCGAAGCUAAUACCUGAUGAUGACUUACGUCCAAAUAUUUAUCCCCCAAGGAUGAUCCCGCAUAGGAUUACCUACUUGGAGAGGUAAAGGCUCACCGACGCCACCAUCCUUAUCUGGUCUGAUAUGAUGAUCCGCCUCACUGAGACUGAAACACCGACCAAACUCGUACAGGAGGAAUCAAUAUGGAAUAUUGCACUAUGGGCGAAAGCCUGAUCCAUCACUGCCGCGUGAGUGAUGAAAGCCUUAAGGUCAUAAAGCUCUUUUACCCUGGAUGAUAAUGACCGUACUGGGAGAAUAAGCUCCGGCUAACUCCGUGCCAGCAGCCCUCGGUAAUAUCGAUGGAGCUAGCGUUGUUCUCGAAUUACUGGGCGUAAAGCGCACGUAGGCGGCUAUUCAAGGUCAGAGGUGAAAGCCCCGGGGCUCAAUCCCGGAACUGCCGUUGAAACUACAUACCUUGAAUCCAGAGAUAGGUGAGUGGAUUUCCGAGUGUAGAGGUGAAAUUCGUAGAUAUUCGGAAGAACACCAGUGGCGAAGGCGGCUCACUGGACUGGUAUUGACGCUGAGGUGCGAAAGCGUGUGGAGCAAACAGGAUUAGAUACCCUGGUAGUUCACGCCGUAAACGAUGAUAACUAGCUGUCAGGGCCCAUGGUGUUUUGGUGGCGCAGUUAACGCAUUAAGUUAUCCGCAUGGGGAGUACGGUCGCAAGAUUAAAACUCAAAGGAAUUGACGGGGUCCUGCACAAGCGGUGGAGCAUGUGGUUUAAUUCGAAGCAACGCGCAGAACCUUACCAACGUUUGACAUCCCUAUCGCGGAUAGUGGAGACACUUUCGUUCAGUUCGGCUGGAUAGGUGACAGGUGCUGCAUGGCAGUGGUCAGCUUGUGUUGUGAGAAGAAGGGUUAAGUAACGCAAAGAGCGCAACCAUACCCGUGACUUGCCAGCAUCUAGUUGUGUACUAUAAUGGAAAAUUCGGCGAUAAGCCGGAGGAAGGGGGUGAGGACGUCAUGUCAUUAUGGCCGUGACGGGUUGUGCUAUACACCCGGUACAAUGUCGUCUACAGUGGGCAGCCACCUCGCGAGAGGGAGCUAAUCUCCAAAAGUCGUCUCAGUUAGGAUGGUUUUCUGCAAUUCGAGAGUGUGAAGGGGGAAUCGUUAGUAAUAGUGGAUCAGCAUUCGGCGGUGAAUACGUUCCCAGACGUCGUGCUCACAGCCAGUCUCACCAUGGGAGCGGUAUUCACUCGAAGGCGCUGAGGUAACGGUAAGGAGACAGGAGACCACAGCGGGCUUACGCGACGGGGGAUAAGUGGUAACAAGGUA